AUUGAACGCUGGCGGCAUGCCUCACACAUGCAAGUCGAACGGCAGCACGGGUGCUUGCACCUGGUGGCGAGUGGCGAACGGGUGAGUAAUACAUCGGAACGUACCUUAUCGUGGGGGAUAACGCAGCGAAAGUUGCGCUAAUACCGCAUACGCCCUGAGGGGGAAAGCGGGGGACCGUAAGGCCUCGCGCGAUUAGAGCGGCCGAUGUCUGAUUAGCUUGUUGGUGAGGUAAAAGCUCACCAAGGCGAUGAUCAGUAGCUGGUCUGAGAGGACGAUCAGCCACACUGGGACUGAGACACGGCCCAGACUCCUACGGGAGGCAGCAGUGGGGAAUUUUGGACAAUGGGGGCAACCCUGAUCCAGCAAUGCCGCGUGAGUGAAGAAGGCCUUCGGGUUGUAAAGCUCUUUUGUCAGGGAAGAAACAGCAGCUCUAACACAGCCUGCGAAUGACGGUACCUGAAGAAUAAGCACCGGCUAACUACGUGCCAGCCGCCGCGGUAA
rnacentral:rRNA from 1 species